GGGGGGGGCGGGGGGGGGGCGGGGCGCGUGCAAGGCGAACGGGGGGGCCCUGCUUGGGUGGGUGGCUCGAGUGGCGAACGGGUUAGGCACCCGGGAGUAACCGGCCCUGGACUUUGGGGUAGCUUCAGGAACCUCGGGCUAAUACCGGCUAGUCGCUCCUGCUGCAGGGUGGUGGUGGGCAAGCUUCUGCGGUUGGGGAUGGACUCGCGGCCUAUCAGCGUGUUGGUGGGGUAGUGGCUUACCAAGGCUUUGACGGGUAGCCGGCCUGAGAGGGUGACCGGCCACAUUGGGACUGAGAUAAGGCCCAGACUCCUACGGGAGGCAGCAGUGGGGAAUAUUGCACAAUGGGCGGAAGCCUGAUGCAGCAACGCCGCGUGCGGGAUGACGGCCUUCGGGUUGUAAACCGCUUUCGCCUGUGACGAAGCGUGAGUGACGGUAAUGGGUAAAGAAGCACCGGCUAACUACGUG
rnacentral:rRNA from 1 species